rnacentral:rRNA from 1 species
AACGAACGCUGGCGGCAUGCCUAACACAUGCAAGUCGAACGGACCCUUCGGGGUUAGUGGCGCACGGGUGCGUAACGCGUGGGAAUCUGCCCUUGGCUUCGGAAUAACAGUUAGAAAUGACUGCUAAUACCGGAUGAUGUCUUCGGACCAAAGAUUUAUCGGCCAGGGAUGAGCCCGCGUAGGAUUAGGUAGUUGGUGGGGUAAAGGCCUACCAAGCCGACGAUCCUUAGCUGGUCUGAGAGGAUGAUCAGCCACACUGGGACUGAGACACGGCCCAGACUCCUACGGGAGGCAGCAGUGGGGAAUAUUGGGCAAUGGACGCAAGUCUGACCCAGCGACGCCGCGUGCGGGAUGAAGGCCUUCGGGUUGUAAACCGCUUUCAGCAGGGAAGAAGCGAAAGUGACGGUACCUGCAAAAGAAGCACCGGCUAACUAUGUGCCAGCAGCCGCGGUAAUACAUAGGGUGCAAGCGUUGUCCGGAAUUAUUGGGCGUAAAGAGCUCGUAGGUGGUUAGUUACGUCGGGUGUGAAAAUCUGGGGCUCAACCCCAGACCUGCACUCGAUACGGGCUAGCUAGAGUUUGGUAGGGGAGACUGGAAUUCCUGGUGUAGCGGUGGAAUGCGCAGAUAUCAGGAGGAACACCAAUGGCGAAGGCAGGUCUCUGGGCCAAUACUGACACUGAGGAGCGAAAGCGCGGGGAGCGAACAGGAUUAGAUACCCUGGUAGUCCGCGCCGUAAACGGUGGGCGCUAGUUGUGGGGACCUUCCACGGUCUCUGCGACGCAGCU